ACUGGGAUAACCCUGGGAAACUGGGGAUAAUACUAGAUAGGCAAGCUUUCCUGGAAUGGUUUUUUGUUUAAAUGUUUUUUCGCCUAAGGAUGGGUCUGCGGCCGAUUAGGUAGUUGGUUAGGUAACGGCUUACCAAGCCGUCGAUCGGUACGGGUUGUGAGAGCAAGAGCCCGGAGAUGGAACCUGAGACAAGGUUCCAGGCCCUACGGGGUGCAGCAGGCGCGAAACCUCCGCAAUGUGAGAAAUCGCGACGGGGGGAUCCCAAGUGCCAUUCUUAACGGGAUGGCUUUUCAUUAGUGUAAAGAGCUUUUGGAAUAAGGGCUGGGCAAGACCGGUGCCAGCCGCCGCGGUAACACCGGCAGCUCUAGUGGUAGCAGUUUUUAUUGGGCCUAAAGCGUCCGUAGCCGGUUUAAUAAGUCUCUGGUGAAAUCCUGUAGCUUAACUGUGGGAAUUGCUGGAGAUACUAUUAGACUUGAGACCGGGAGAGGUUAGAGGUACUCCCAGGGUAGAGGUGAAAUUCUGUAAUCCUGGGAGGACCGCCUGUUGCGAAGGCGUCUAACUGGAACGGUUCUGACGGUGAGGGACGAAAGUUAGGGGCGCGAACCGGAUUAGAUACCCGGGUAGUCCUAACCGUAAACGAUGCGGACUUGGUGUUGGGGUGGCUUUGAGCUGCUCCAGUGCCGAAGGGAAGCUGUUAAGUCCGCCGCCUGGGAAGUACGGUCGCAAGACUGAAACUUAA
rnacentral:rRNA from 1 species